AAGUCGUAACAAGGUUUCCGUAGGUGAACCUGCGGAAGGAUCAUUAGUAAGUGUUGUACCAAAUUUUAUUUGGUGCUUCAUUUUUGUGAACUGGAGGUUUCGGCCUCGCUUUUUUUUCAUGUUGUAUUUUUUUUUUAUUUUUUUAAAAAUUAAGACAACUUUCAGCAAUGGAUCUCUUGGCUCUU
rnacentral:misc_RNA from 1 species